AGCUGCUAAAAGGGAGUUAAACCAGCCCAAGAGAAAAAAGUAUGUUGCAGUCAACAAAGCUGAAUGGAAUUGGAGAUCUGAAGAGCAUUUUGACAUCAGUCAUGGAAAUGCAGAGUUUGGAGUUUGCCCACCUGGUUUUUGGUCUUGCUUUGGUUCAGUAUUUUCUCACUAUGCUCCUUUCCCUGCAUUUUUGAACAGUAAUGUGUAUCCUGUGCCUUUAUAUGUUGGAAGUAUGUGACUGUUCGUUGAUUUUGAUUUUAUAGGGAAUUACAGUUAAGGGACUGUAUGAAUCUCAGAAGAGAUUUUGAACUUUGGUCUUUUAAACAUUGUUGAGACUGUAAUAGAAUAUGGGGACCUUUGAACUUGGACUAAAUGCAUUUUGCAUUAUGAUAUUAUUACAAGCUUAUGGGGGCCUGGGAGUGGAAUGCGGUAGUUUGAAUGUAAUUCACUAUUAGGAGGCAUAGCUUUAUUGGAGUAGAUGUGGCCUUGUUGGAGGAAGUGUAGUACUGUGGAGGUGGACUUUGAGGUUUCAUAUAUGCUCAAGUAUCUCAGUGUCUCAGUUCACUUCCUGUUGCCUUUGGAUCAAAAUGUAGAAUUCUCCAGCACCAUGUCUGCCUGCAUGCCUCCAUAUUCCCAGCCACCAUGCUUCCCGUCAUGAUGAUAAUGGACUCUGAAACUGAAACCUCUGACACUGGAUGCUGAGUAACAACCACAGUGGCCUCUUUUCCACGACAACCCAAGGUUUCCAUCUAAAGAUCAAGAUGCAGAAUUCUCAGCUCCUUCUCCAGGAUCGUGUCUGCCCGCACGCUGCCAUGUCCCACCAUGAUGAUAAUGGAUUAAACCUCUGAAACUGUAAGCGAGCCACCCCAGUUAAAUGUUUUCCUUUACAAGAGUUGCCGUGGUCAUGGUGUCUCUUCACAGCAAUAGAAACACUAACUAAAAAAAGAAAAAAAAAAAAAAGAAACCCUUGUAGUGGGGAACCAUUCCAGCUUUGAUCUGGAAGUUCCAACCCCCAUUGAGGCUUCGGUAACUCAUGCCUACAAGGCGGGGCCAAGAGAGGACCCUGAAGACCCAAGAUCCAGAUGUGCCGGCUCUCUUGGUUCCUGGACCCUGGACGCUGGAAGAAGACAGAGCAGAGUUCUCCAGAGAACACUGCCGGACUGCACUACACUUUUCCCAGACCCUGUUACCUAUCCCUUCAUUUGUGAGUUACCCCACAAAA